rnacentral:lncRNA from 12 species
GGCGGGAAGGGACCAGGUGGUGGACUUACGGAACGAGCUGGGGAAAUAUAAAAAUAAAACCCAAGGCGGGGUGUUUCUGCAUAACUGUGUGACGGCUGCCACACGCAGGACUAGGAUCCCUAAGUCCUGGGGGAGUGAGCGGCACACAGCGAGAAGUGGGUAAACGGGCCAUUCCUGGGCGUUGGCGUGUGACCGGAGGAGGCCGACAGGAGCCCCCACGUCAGUGUGGAACGCAGGCUGGGGUGUGGAUCACUUAGAGAGACAAAAAGCAUUUGCGUCGUUUUCCCACUAAGCCAGAUACGUCAGAUGAAAUCGCAAACACCGGGGAACGGGACGUAGUGGUGGAGACAGGUGUCGGUCCUGGUGGCCGCUCGGAGGCGGUGGCGGCGGCGGCGCAGUUCCGCGGGGGCAGGACCUCCCCCGGCCUCGAACGCUGGCUGUCGAGGUCAGGUGGCGGUUCCACAGGAUCACGGCUGUCGCGUCAGGCGGAGGCUGCCCGCGUUCACGGGGAGUCGUCACCCGCCGUGGUCAGCGAACGCCUUAUGGAAGGAGCCGGCUCACUGGAAUCCCAGCUCAGUGUGGAAGGACCAGUUCACUCCCGGGAGCAAAAGUCGGCUACGUAUGCUUUUAUCGCACCUGGUGCUACGUCUUCACAUGGUGCCCUUGCAUCGCUGGUCUCCCAACAAGUGUCGCUUCUACAGUUAGUUCUUGAACGACUGUGGAGCCGUGAAAAUGGGCAGAAUGUUGCACUUCCACGUGGUAAAUAAAACCAGCUGCUUGCAAGCAGCGCAAUGGGUUUGCUUCCGAGCGUUCUUGGAAGGGAGGGGCGGACGCCGGCGGCCCGGCCCUGGCGUCUCCUGCAGCAGGUGUGGACCCGGAGGGAGCUCCGGGCCCGGCCGGCGAGCGUGAGCACGCGCGAAUGGUACGGAGCACGCAUCUCUGGAACACUGUGUGUGGACGUCAGGGACGAAGCCGCCCUCGCAGCCUCUGACCUCAUCUCCCCCACAAUAGAUCUCAUGCUUGAAAGGGAGCAUGAGUGAUUUUAACCCAAAACAUGUUGUCAGUUUGUGUUAGAAAAAGGUGAGAUGGAAUCAUGGUUGACAGGUGAGCCGGAGACGAAAGGAACAAUUUCAUGUUUCUUCUCGAAACCAGCCCUGCCUGGCUGAUGGAGCGACGACCAGAAAAUCCUGCCAAGGGAAAUACCCGUGGCUGCGGUGGCUGGGAGCACCUGCCACGGGGGCUGCAGAAGAGGGAGGACUGCCACCCACCCCGCCGGGCCCCACGGCGGGCCACCCCUCACCCACUCUCUGGGGUUCGCCCUGGCGGGUGGGGGCUCUGGCGCUGCGGUCCAGAUGGCCAGGGUGCUGCUUCCACAUGAGCCGGUGGGUUGGCGAGGAUGGGGCCAAGCACUAGGAAGGCCCAGACGUCUACAUUAGGGGUGUCACUAGGGCAGGGAUCUGGUCAUGCAGGCUCGGGGUGGGGAUGCCGGAGGCCCAGGAGGACAUCUGGUGGCUUGUGGUUCCCGAAUAUCCACUGUGGGGCGGUGGGAGACAAGGAGCUUGGCCCCCGAGGGCAGCCACAGGGCCUGAAGAUAAAGGAAUUUUUUUUUAAAGAUUUUAUUUAUUCAUGAGAGACACACAGAGAGAGAGAGAGAGAGGCAGAGACACAGGCAGAGGGAGAAGCAGGCUCCAUGCAGGGAGCCCGAAGUGGGACUCGACCCUGGGUCUCCAGGGUCACGCCCUGGGCCGAAGGCAGGCGCUCAACAGC